AAGUCGUAACAAGGUAACCGUAGGUGAACCUGCGGUUGGAUCAUUACCGAUUGCUUUUGCUCUCGCUACCCUUGUGGCAGCUUGAGAGCAACUGUAUCAACCUAUUGUGAACUGUUCUGUUUCUGGCGGCGGGGCUAGCUUAGUGGCCAAGCCUGUCAGCCUGCCUAGCCUGUCAAUAUGGCUGGGUUCAGGCCGUGGACAAACCGCCAAUGGCUUCGGCCGCAGACUCAACUUUUGAUACUUUAAUACUAAAGUCUAAAGUGAACCUGUAUACUAAUAUACAAACAACUUUUGGCAACGGAUCUCUUGGCUCUC
rnacentral:misc_RNA from 1 species